AGCUGGUUCAAAGGUAGCAAGUUAUCACAACUGAUUUUUCACAGUCAGUUACAAAUGGAAAUUUUUGUUCUACUCUUUCACCUCUUCUCACUACUGCUUUGACUAGACUUUG
rnacentral:Y_RNA from 1 species